AUGGGCCCCAGGCUUCUCUGCUGGGUGGCCUUCUGCAUCCUGGGGGCAGGCCCUGUGGAUUCCGAUUCCAGAGUCACCCAGAGCCCGGGUCACCUGAUCAAACAACGAGGACAGCUGGUGACACUGAGCUGCUCCCCCAUCUCUGGGCACCUCUCUGUGUCCUGGUACCAGCAGACGCGGGGCCAGGGUCCCCAGUUCCUCGUUCAGUAUUAUAACGGUGAAGAGAGAGAGAAAGGUGACACCCGGGAUGGGUUCUCAGGCCAGCAGUUCCCCAACUACAGCUCCAAGGUGAACCUGAGCGCCCUGGACUCAGCCGUGUUCCUCUGUGCCAGCAGCUUAGGUAAAUCACCAGGCGUUUCCUCUGAGUUGUCUCCUGCUGGACCGGAACCAGCAACCUCCCAGUUAAUAGUGGAGAGCAGGCAUGUUAUACCACCCAAGGGCCUUCCUUUCUCCCCAAACCUGAGCAAAUACUCCUCAUGA